rnacentral:rRNA from 1 species
AUACAGAGGGUGCAAGCGUUAAUCGGAUUUACUGGGCGUAAAGCGCGCGUAGGCGGCUAAUUAAGUCAAAUGUGAAAUCCCCGAGCUUAACUUGGGAAUUGCAUUCGAUACUGGUUAGCUAGAGUGUGGGAGAGGAUGGUAGAAUUCCAGGUGUAGCGGUGAAAUGCGUAGAGAUCUGGAGGAAUACCGAUGGCGAAGGCAGCCAUCUGGCCUAACACUGACGCUGAGGUGCGAAAGCAUGGGGAGCAAACCGGAUUAGAAACCCCAGUAGUCC